CGUUUGAAAAUCAACAAAAUGAACAACUUCAAUCUGAAUACGUGGGCCUAGAAACGAGGGUUCCUCCAGGUUGUGCGUACGUUUACUUCAGGACACAGGACUGGAAGGGCACGAAGAAGAAUCCUCUGAAGCUUCUGGUGGUCUUGAUGUGCGAGAGGUCACCCCAAUGAACACAGGUUUACAAGCUGUGCAAGAAGUGGGGAGGUACAAACUAUUUCUCCUCUUGACUUGCCUCGCCUCACUUUCACUGGUUUCUUCUUCAGCUCAUCAUGCUACAUCCAAGAAGGUGCGUAAGUAUGUGGAAGGUGCCUAAAAAUCUUCCUUGUCCCGCUCUCUUGCUUGCUCUUUGAACCUCUCGUUCGUCCUCACUUCUCUUGACUUGUCUAAGGAUGAAUUAGUUCUUCGUCUUCACCACCAGCCAUCGUCAUCCGUUCUAUCUGACUUGCACCAAAAAACUGAAUAGCUUGCUCGUCAACUCACUUGGGAGCCCCUGGCAGCUGGAAGAAGCUCAAACGUAUCCUAAAAAGUGGCGGCCGUACGCAAGUUCGUUCAUUCGGACCUGCCAGAGAACACUCAGCCGCCUUUUGGUUAUCGAAGCGGGAAGGGCUCUCGCGCAGUACUAGGGCGCAUACGUUCGUAGACCCUUAUGAUCAACGUACAUUGUAGAAUGCACCACUUCAGCCACAUCUCGAUUGGGACUUGGAUUCAUUCUGAGGCGCCCUCUGUCGUUUUGAAAUUAAAACCAUCACGAUUGUUAACUGUCGAAUGAGCGCUUGAUGGUGCCAAAGGACUGGGGCAUUGAAUUUUCAUCGGUAAAGGUUGUUGUUCAAGAAAUGGUUUACGAAUGAAUGAAGUCAAAACGGCAUGUUUUUUAAAGAUAUACAGUACAUCGUCGAUUUAUUUGGCUCGCACUUUAUAAAGCUAAAGCUCAUCGGAUGAGGAUGCUUCAAAAGCAGAUACUGACCUUUCAUCAAACAUUUCCUGGUCGGUUAGAACAACAUUUAUCAAUUACCAAUAACUCUGGUUCCUGAAAUCGAUGAUAGAAUUGAGUCAAAACCGGUUGUGUACCGGAUCAUAACUUAUUCUUUAUAGGUCUGUUUUGUUUGGCAAAGGAAGUUUAUAUUAUCGGUGCCCUGUGCCCUAUUCAAGAAGUAAGACGCCGACAUAGCCAAUAUAAAGAUCAAGACGAUUGAACAAUCGUUCUUUUCACUUGAACCAUAAUUGGUCGUGUCGUUUUCGUCGAGUCGGCAUUAUAUCUAAUCAUUUCGCCCGUCAUCAUUGGAUAAGACGCAUUUAAGUGUCAAAGUUCCUCGGAAACUCCUCACGUUGAAGUCUCCAAGACAAAAGAAUCCUAAGGCAUUGAUCACCGAGUGCAAAUUGUUGAAAUUGUUCCUUCCACUGGAUCUGUAUUACGUGAACACCACUCGCCUGAUCCAAGCUUUUGAGUAACAAAGAACCUCGUUUCCGAUAUCAUCUUGAAAAAAAUGACGACAAAAUGCAUACAUUCUCCAAAGAAAUAGACAAACAAUGGCAGGUUUCGAUUUCUGGUUCCAACUACUCCCAAACUCCCAAUCCUAUCCGCACUCUAUCUGGAGUAUCGCCGCCAGCCGUCCCGCCCUCAUUCCGCAUAGCACCAGAUCUAGUCAGGCAUCCAUCCAACCAUCCAACCAACCAAUAGCCUGGGCGUCAGGUAUUCCUCAAGGUCAGAGCUCUAUCUAUCUAGUCAGAAAAACCAAUGCACUACCAUCACCGCUUUAGUAGUACGCCAAUGGUAAGUACGGAUACCGGGUGGAAUGGUCGAUGGUCUGCUUUAGCGCUCCAUUCGGGAGGAUUCCAGUCCCCCACUCGAUUGGUGGGUUUGAUAGCUUGGCUGGCCAAACCUGCUGUCUUUCCUCAUAUGAAUGUGUUUGAGAGGUGGGGGGAGAAGGAUAGCUCAGGCAUACACACAUACACACACACACGCUCGCUCACCAAGGUAAGUACAUAGACAGAGGGUUGGUAAUACUGUCGUUGAGGAUCUGGGUGUGACUGCCUGGUUGGCUUGGUUGAUGAUGGCUGGUUGCUCUUGUGCCCUCAUCAUAGACUAUCUUUUGGGAAUUGGCCGGUAAUCGUCUGAAAAUGAAACUGCGCUUGUCUCUCCUUGAGUCGCCAAGGAGUAGAGUGAAUGACUGGCCAGACACCCAGGCUUAGGUUUGAGUAUGCUUUAUUUUCCUUCUCUGAACCUCAUCCCGUUCAAUAAAGCCUGGGAUAAUAUUAAGAUAUUGUCACGGUUGAUAUUUCUAAAUGGAGUUACAUUUCAAUCGAACCGCAUGCUUUCAGGGAAGUUUGGGUAAGAAUUGGGAUCUCCACUUUUGGACUGAGGUUUGAUGGAACAAAGGAGAGAAGUUCAGAAACUUGGACGUUGUAGUUAUUAAAUGACUCAUCUAACCGAGUGGAGAGUGCUAGAGCAAUGGCAAUGGCUGAGCCAGGAGAACUUGUGAUUUAUUUUGAGCUAGUGAGCCAAUUACAGUAAGGAAGAAAACACAACCUUGGAAUGAAUGGGUCCUUGACUUUGACAAUUGUAGAUAUUGUUUGGUUUGGUGGUACAUUAUUAGGAGGAGAAGAAGUACUUGAUGAGUAAUAUAAUCUGUUACAAUACUGACUGCUCAGAAGCACCGGUAUCAAACUCGGGGAAGAGGGAAAGUGCCCCAUAAUAUCUCCGGUAAUUGGAACUAGUUCAUGAUCUACAUCUCCAUGAGAUGAACCGCUAUUAUUGCAAUUGCUGGACGGCUUGCCUAUCGCUCGCCUUCUUCACCUCAUCUUCCACCAAUUUAGCCUCAGUUUCUUCAUUCUUGAUUUGUUGGAGCAAAAGACGACCCGAUCGAGCCGUAAGGGUGUCGCCAUUCCCGUCGCGAGCUAUCCAAUGUUGGAGAAAUCCGGACACGGCCUUGUUUCCACCUCGCUCAGCUUCGGAUAAAGGCGUAAAGCCCCAUCUAAAAGAGUCAAGGUCAUGGAUAUUUACUGAAAAUUGAAGGUCCCAUUAUGUUCGAGCUAUAUUUGGCUUGCGGCAAACGCCCUUUUUGGACGACCAGAAUUUGAAUUCAAUGGAAUAUGGCUUACGAAAUGCCAUCAAAUGUCCGAAGGCACGUUCUUGCUAAUGGGACAGAAAAUCCGUGACUAAAUAACUUUUAAAAGAGAGAUUCAUUCUUUUAAACGUAUCCGAAUUUGAAU